GAAAUGCGAUAAGUAAUGUGAAUUGCAGAUUUCAGUGAAUCAUCGAAUCUUUGAACGCACAUUGCGCCCGCUAGUAUUCUGGCGGGCAUGCCUGUUCGAGCGUCAUUUCAACCAUCAAGCCCCCGGCUUGCGUUGGAGCCCUGCGGCUGCCGCAGGCUCCUCCUCUCAUUAAGGGGGGACACUUUUCAAGGUUGACCUCGGAUCAGGUAGGAAUACCCGCUGAACUUAA
rnacentral:misc_RNA from 1 species